CUGUAACAGUUUUGCUAUAAUUUAUCAGAAGGUCCAAAAGUUCGACAUAACUAUUUCAGUUUGCAUUAUUUAUUUAUGAUGCUUUUGUCAUUGUCUUUUAUACAUUUGGGAUUAUAAAUUAUGUAAAUGUUAAAAUGAGCAUCUCAAAGAAGUCUGUUAAAUCAUGGCCGGGGUGGGGAAAAAAAAAAAAAACAGCUUUAUUUUUAAAAAGUGGAGUCCCAGUUUUAAUGAAUCAGAGUUAUAAAUCAGAAAUUCUGUAAACCAAUUCCAUAAGAAGAAAGGAUCCAGUAAUUAAACCGAUUCUAUUUAAUGACAUCUUUGUCGCAUAGGUGGUCUCUAAUGCUGACAACAGAUUUCUUAGAAAUGCUGCUCUCUCUAUUUAACUAACAUUUUGUUCAGUUUUGCCUCCAGUGGAAGCAGAAAGGGUUUUUUCAGCUGUUAAAUCCUAAAAAUCAAUAUAAUUUAUUUAUGUAAAAAAAAAAUCACUCAAUUGAUAUAUUUUUGAACCUUUUAAGUACUAAUUUUCUUUUUAUCAAGUAGGAAAAAAAAAAUGUAUUUGCCCUAAAUCCUUAAAAUACAAAUGCUAUAAAAAUUCAUGUAUCUUGAAAGCCUUACUGCAAAUGAGUAUUAUAGACACCCAGCAGAGCCUGGGUUUUCUUUGCUGUCGUUGUUGUUGUUUUGUAUGGAAAGGCUGCUUUCCCCAGGUUCCACUUAGAACCUCCAGUAGGUCACAGGGUUCAGUAUGGAUUUGAUUUAACAACCCACCAGCAUGCUAAAAAUCCCUUGUUAUAUCUUAUCGAACCUGUAUGUUAACUCUCUGGGUGUUUAGGCUUCUCUUUGACUGCUAUUGUGUCCCUGUUUGCAAAAUGAAAAUGACACUCUGUGGAUUAUUUGCUCUGUAAGGCAUAAGUGCUUCUUAUGAUUAUUUUGACGUUUCCAAGAGCAAAAGCCAAAUUUAAAACUCUCUUCAGCAAACUUGAGCCUUUUCAUCUAAUUCCAUGUCACUCACAGCCAUAACUUUUCCUUGAUCGUUCUUCACCCCAUGUCUUACAUAAUAAAUUGUCUGUGGUCUCGAUCCUGGAUUUAAA
rnacentral:lncRNA from 1 species